ACACAUGGAAAUAGCACAUAGUGAUAUAGACACACGUAUAAUUGCCCAUGGUGAAUCUCGAACCUAUAUACUCAAGACUCAAGGUCUCCGCCUUUGCCAACUGUGCCAAGACGGCAAAGCCUCAUUGGCAACCUAACCCAUUUUUCAAAUCUCAGUUAUUUAGUUAAAUGCCUAAAACCAUGAAUUGAAUCCAAUAAACUACCAUUAGAGGGAAUAUGCCAUAUACAUAUAUCAAGGUUCCAUUUUUCUUUUGCAUGUAGGGAACUCAAAGCCAUUGCACAAAUUCCCCCGAAAAUCAUCAUUUGGCACACAAAAGCAGUAUUAUAACAGAGUUUAGAGCGUGGUCAUACAAUAAAAUAUGCAACACUAAGUAAAAACAUAUACAUACAAAAUGUCCCAAACAUCACUUGGCAAAAAACCCGUGUAAAGGUAUCAACCGUAUCUCAAAUCUAAGUUCUUGAGCUAAGAGCCUAAAACCCAUUUAAAUGAUACAAAAAAUACACACACAAACACACACAUAUAAUGAAAAACAGCUCAAAUGGAUUAAAACUAUAUAAGAUGCCAUCAGAGGGAAUGUGUAUUUUUUUUUUCAAAGUCCCAUUUUGGUUUCGCAACGAAGGAACUCAAAGCCCUUGCGCAAUUUUCCCAAAAAUCAUCACUUGGCAUUAUCAAAGUUCAGAUUUUUUAACAAUCAUAGCAAAUAAGGAAUAAACAGACUGAUAAAAGAGAAUACUUUAGAGGAGAAUAGUCGAAGGAGGCGGCAACCAUAGAAAAGUGAGCAAGGAAAACAAAACAAGAAACUUUUAACCUAAUUUACAACCAAAGGCUUGAUGGGAUAUUACUCAGGGUAAAUUACAUCUAAUAUCACCAAAUUAUUAAUAAGUUUAUAUUUUGGUCACCCAACUUCAAAAAGUUACAAAAUAGCUACUUAACUAUUUAAAAGUUUUCUUUUAAGUCAUUGAACUUUUAAAAUCGUUAUUAUAUGGCUUUCUCUCUUCGCACCACUUACACCAAUCGAAAGCUCUCAUUUUUUUCUCUAUUCUGGAAUUCAAUUUUUCUCAUGAAACAACUUUAAACAUCACGAUUCUACGAAUCAAAAUCUAAAAACUUUCUUUUAUAAUCUCUAACAUUGACUGUCUAAUCGACUUGGAUCUAGGGUAUAUUAUUCUACUCGUUGAUAUAUACUAAUUCAUUGUAUCGAUAAUUAAAUUGUCGCUUGAAGAUCACUAAUUAGACUUAAAAAAUUAAUAGCUUAAUGACUUAAAUAAAAAUUUUUAAAUAAUUCAAUAAAAAAAUCAAAAUACAAUCUCUUAUAGGUACGCUCCAAAAUAAACCAAAAUAUUAUCUUUCAUUAAUAAGCUAAAGUAUGCUUAAAGUUGCUAAACUAUUAGUAAGUUUAGAUUUUGGUCAUUCAGUUUCAAAAAGUUAUAAAAUGACUGUAAUAGGCCAAUUUUAGCCUGGCUAAAAAAUUAUAUAAUAGCCUAUUACUAAACCCAGUUUUAAACCCAAUAGCACCCUGACUUAAUAACCAAAUUACAAGCCCAAUACCCAAACAACCCAAAUACCUAACCCACUAGCCUAAAACACAAAAAAAAAAAAAAAUGAACAGCAGAAACCUUUGGCAAAAAGCAGCGGAUCGGCGUCACCCUCGCCCCCACGUUGCAGCAAUCGUCUUCACGCACAAACGCAUAGCAACUGCCCACGUCGUCUCACCCACGUCUGGUAGCUUCGCACGAUGCCCGUACCUGCAACAAGCCAUGAACCACGAAUAGAAAUAAUAGCAGAAAUUACGACAAAAAGAGGAGAGUUUUUUUUGAUAGUUUCUUUCUCCGUUGUUUCGGCUAUAAAAAGGCCAAUCAAUCUCUGUAACAAGGUUAGCAAAUUUUUGUACCGAAAUCGAAAAGAAAAUAGACGAGAAAAACAUUUUUGAAGGUGACAGAUUUUGGCUUUGUUUCUUCUGUUCUUUUUACUGUUUUUAUUUUAUUUUAUUUUUUUCUUUUGUUUCUUAAAACAACAAAUAAACAAAAACGAGAAAGGGAGUAAAGAAAACUUACCGGUGUGGCGUCGUUGAAGCUCUUUCGUUUCGUCGCCAUUGGAGCAGGGGAGGAGUUUUCAGAGGGAGAGCAUUACGGCGCAAUAUCAAAGAAAGAAAGAAUGGUUUUUAGGGUUUAAAAAGGGGAUUUUUUAUUUGAUUUUAAGUUGAUGGGUUAUUUAUAAUUUAGGCCCUUCAUUUUUUU
rnacentral:lncRNA from 1 species